ACCUGCGGAGGGAUCAUUACCGAGUUAUACAACUCAUCAACCCUGUGAACAUACCUAAAACGUUGCCUCGGCGGGAACAGACGGCCCCGUAACACGGGCCGCCCCCGCCAGAGGACCCCCUAACUCUGUUUCUAUAAUGUUUUUUCUGAGUAAACAAGCAAAUAAAUCAAAACUUUCAACAACGGAUCUCUUGGCUCUGGCAUCGAUGAAGAACGCAGCGAAAUGCGAUAAGUAAUGUGAAUUGCAGAAUUCAGUGAAUCAUCGAAUCUUUGAACGCACAUUGCGCCCGCCAGUAUUCUGGCGGGCAUGCCUGUUCGAGCGUCAUUACAACCCUCAGGCCCCCGGGUCUGGCGUUGGGGAUCGGCGGAAGCCCCCUGUGGGCACAACGCCGUCCCCCAAAUACAGUGGCGGUCCCGCCGCAGCUUCCAUUGCGUAGUAGCUAACACCUCGCAACUGGAGAGCGGCGCGGCCACGCCGUAAAACACCCAACUUCUGAAUGUUGACCUCGAAUCAGGUAGGAAUACCCGCUGAACUUAAGCAUAUCAAUAAGCGGAGGAA
rnacentral:rRNA from 1 species